GUAAGGGGGUGUCUAGCUUAGGAGUGCUGAUUUUUCCAGCCAGUGGCCAAGUAGAACAGGGCAACAUGAAAAGAGGAAGUUUAUCUACACUGAACUCUUUUAUAGGGACUUUUUUGCUGAAAGUCCUAAAGUCAGCCAUAGUGAAGACUUCUGGAGAAGAUCCAAGGAGGCACCAUAUAAGUCCCAUCUGAUUCCAGAAAGAUAUCUGAAGCACUUGGAAAUUAUUUUCCAUUACCUGAUAAAGAAGAUCACUUGUAGUGUGUCCAAUGUUUUGUAAACCAGCACCCUUAUCAAGAACUGAACCCUCUCAACAUGUGUACUAACUAGAGAAGAGACAAUCAACUCCUGUAUUGAUGUCAACCUCAGGGAUCAACAUAAUAGCAUCCCUGACUUCCAUCCUGCAUGACGACAGAGGGUUUCCCAGCCCAGAGAAGUUUGAUCCUGGCCACUUUCUGGAUGAUUGUGGCAACUUUAAGAAGAGUGACUAUUUCCUGGCUUUCU